UGAGGAAUAUUGGACAAUGGGCGCAAGCCUGGUCCAGCCAUGCCGCGUGCAGGAAGAAGCAUCUAUGGUGUGUAAACUGCUUUUGUACGGGAAGAAACACUCCUACGUGUAGGAGCUUGACGGUACCGUAAGAAUAAGGAUCGGCUAACUCCGUGCCAGCAGCCGCGGUAAUACGGAGGAUCCAAGCGUUAUCCGGAAUCAUUGGGUUUAAAGGGUCCGUAGGCGGUUUAAUAAGUCAGUGGUGGAAGCCCAUCGCUCAACGAUGGAACGGCCAUUGAUACUGCUAGACUUGAAUUACAAGGAAGUAACUAGAAUAUGUAGUGUAGCGGUGAAAUGCUUAGAUAUUACAUGGAAUACCAAUUGCGAAGGCAGGUUACUACUUGUGGAUUGACGCUGAUGGACGAAAGCGUGGGGAGCGAACA
rnacentral:rRNA from 1 species